rnacentral:rRNA from 1 species
UACGGAGGGGGCUAGCGUUGUUCGGAAUUACUGGGCGUAAAGCGCACGUAGGCGGACCAUCAAGUUGGGGGUGAAAUCCCGGGGCUCAACCCCGGAACUGCCUCCAAAACUGCUGGUCUGGAGGUCGAGAGAGGUGAGUGGAAUUCCGAGUGUAGAGGUGAAAUUCGUAGAUAUUCGGAGGAACACCAGUGGCGAAGGCUGCUCACUGGCUCGAUACUGACGCUGAGGUGCGAAAGCGUGGGGAGCAAACAGG